rnacentral:tRNA from 1 species
UCCCACGUAGUCUAGUGGCUAGGAUAUCUGGCUUUCACCCAGAAGGCCCGGGUUCGAUUCCUGGCGUGGGAA